rnacentral:rRNA from 1 species
UACGGGGGGGGCAAGCGUUGUUCGGAUUUAUUGGGUUUAAAGGGUGCGUAGGCGGCCCUGUAAGUCAGUGCUGAAAUAUUCCGGCUUAACCGGGAGGGUGGCAUUGAUACUGCGGGGCUAGAGUGCAGAUGAGGUAGGCGGAAUUGACGGUGUAGCGGUGAAAUGCUUAGAUAUCGUCAAGAACACCUAUAGCGAAGGCAGCUUACUAGGCUGUAACUGACGCUGAGGCACGAAAGUGUGGGGAUCAAACAGG